GAUGAACGCUGGCGGCGUGCCUAAUACAUGCAAGUCGAGCGAACGGACGAGAAGCUUGCUUCUCUGAUGUUAGCGGCGGACGGGUGAGUAACACGUGGAUAACCUACCUAUAAGACUGGGAUAACUUCGGGAAACCGGAGCUAAUACCGGAUAAUAUUUUGAACCGCAUGGUUCAAAAGUGAAAGACGGUCUUGCUGUCACUUAUAGAUGGAUCCGCGCUGCAUUAGCUAGUUGGUAAGGUAACGGCUUACCAAGGCAACGAUGCAUAGCCGACCUGAGAGAGUGAUCGGCCACACUGGAACUGGAACACGGUCCAGACUCCUACGGGAGGCAGCAGUAGGGAAUCUUCCGCAAUGGGCGAAAGCCUGACGGAGCAACGCCGCGUGAGUGAUGAAGGUCUUCGGAUCGUAAAACUCUGUUAUUAGGGAAGAACAUAUGUGUAAGUAACUGUGCACAUCUUGACGGUACCUAAUCAGAAAGCCACGGCUAACUACGUG
rnacentral:rRNA from 1 species